UACGUAGGGUGCAAGCGUUAAUCGGAAUUACUGGGCGUAAAGCGUGCGCAGGCGGUCAUGUAAGACAGAUGUGAAAUCCCCGGGCUCAACCUGGGAACUGCAUUUGUGACUGCACGGCUAGAGUGUGUCAGAGGGGGGUAGAAUUCCACGUGUAGCAGUGAAAUGCGUAGAGAUGUGGAGGAAUACCGAUGGCGAAGGCAGCCCCCUGGGAUAACACUGACGCUCAUGCACGAAAGCGUGGGGAGCAAACAGG
rnacentral:rRNA from 1 species